GCGUCCUUGGUGUAACGGUAACACAAGAUCCAUAACAUUGUCGGAUUGGUCCGGGGUUUGAUUCCCCGAGGGCGCC